rnacentral:rRNA from 1 species
GUGUCAGCAGCCGCGGUAAGACGAACUGUCCAAACGUUGUUCGGAAUCACUGGGCUUAAAGGGCGCGUAGGCGGUCGACCAAGUCAGGGGUGAAAUCCUGCAGCUUAACUGUAGAAGUGCCUUUGAUACUGGUCGUCUCGAGGGAGGUAGGGGUGUGUGGAACUUCCAGUGGAGCGGUGAAAUGCGUUGAUAUUGGAAGGAACGCCGGAGGCGAAAGCGACGCACUGGACCUCUUCUGACGCUGAGGCGCGAAAGCUAGGGGAGCAAACGGGAUUAGAAACCCCCGUAGUCC